CCAAUAGCGUAUAUUAAAGUUGUUGCAGUUAAAAAGCUCGUAGUUGAAUUUCGGGAUCAAUCUAUCGGUCGUGCAAUAGUACGUACUGAUUUUAUUGAUUCCUCCCUUCUGAUGAACUAUGAUGUCAUUAAUUUGGUGUCAUAGGGAAUCAGGACUGUUACUUUGAAAAAAUUAGAGUGUUUAAAGCAGGCUCACGCUUGAAUACAUUAGCAUGGAAUAACGAAAUAGGACGUUUGAUUCUAUUUUGUUGGUUUCUAGGAUCGACGUAAUGAUUAAUAGGGAUAGUUGGGGGCAUUAGUAUUCAAUUGUCAGAGGUGAAAUUCUUGGAUUUAUUGAAGACUAACUACUGCGAAAGCAUUUGCCAAGGAUGUUUUCAUUAAUCAAGAACGAAAGUUAGGGGAUCGAAGACGAUCAGAUACCGUCGUAGUCUUAACCAUAAACUAUGCCGACUAGGGAUCGGAUGAUGUUAAUUUUUUAAUGACCCAUUCGGCGCCUUACG
rnacentral:rRNA from 1 species